ACCAGCACAUCCCAGUUCAGCAUGAGUAAGCUGUCACUCUAACCAUGGUGAAGAUGCCUUACACAUGAGUCGCAUUGAUUGGACCACCAAGAUUUUAGUGUCGUUGACUCUUCCACCUGGCUGCUGGGCCUCAGGGUGGCUGAAAAAGCUGUGUCCCAACAAGCAAAGGCAUCUUCCUUUCAGACAGGCAGCACGAGGUGGAUAAGCUUCUUGUGCCACACAGCCCUGCUGGGAUGCCCUUCCAUACAAAAGAGAUGUGGCAGCCAACUGCAACGGAAAGACUAUGUAUAAAGAGGGUCUAAACCUUUCUUCUUACUAAGUUGACUGCCCUGGGAAUUUGCUAUGGCAACAAAAAGCUGACAGUGCGGCUGGCAACAAAAACUAGAAGCUUCUUCCCCUGAGCAGGUGAUAGGAUUAGCAACUUCUUUUUUCUAAAGCCACGAAAUCUGACCGUGUAACUCUCUGAACUCAUAUCUCUUCGGCAAACCCUCAGCUCGAGGUUCUUCCCACCCCACAGCAAACCGGGAGAGGGAGCAAUGCCCUGAAAAGCUGAGAGGAAUUUGACCAAAUGGACUAUGCUGGAAUUCACUUUCCUUAUUUUACUAUGUUUGUACCAUCUUCCUUUGUCUAAGCACACUUCUUUAAGACGGCUUAUCUUAAAACAAAUCCAAGAGCACACAAUAUACUUUGUUUAGUUCUCUGGAAUUCUACU
rnacentral:sRNA from 1 species